rnacentral:rRNA from 1 species
GAUGAACGCUGGCGGCGUGCCUAACACAUGCAAGUCGAGCGAGGGUUUGCUCAGUAUUGAGUAUUCUAAGUCUAGAAUGUUCAAUUCUGAGCAAAACCAAGCGGCGGACGGGUGAGUAACGCGUGGGCAACCUGCCCUAUACACAUGGAUAACAUACUGAAAAGUUUACUAAUACAUGAUAAUAUAUAUUUGUGGCAUCGCAGAUAUAUCAAAGUGUUAGCGGUAUAGGAUGGACCCGCGUCUGAUUAGCUAGUUGGUGAGAUAACUGCCCACCAAGGCGACGAUCAGUAGCCGACCUGAGAGGGUGAUCGGCCACAUUGGAACUGAGACACGGUCCAAACUCCUACGGGAGGCAGCAGUGGGGAAUAUUGCACAAUGGGCGAAAGCCUGAUGCAGCAACGCCGCGUGAACGAUGAAGGUCUUCGGAUCGUAAAGUUCUGUUGCAGGGGAAGAUAAUGACGGUACCCUGUGAGGAAGC